GUAACGGCGAGUGAAGCGGCAAUAGCUCAAAUUUGAAAUCUGGCUCUUUCAGGGUCCGAGUUGUAAUUUGCAGAGGGCGCUUUGGUGUCGGCAGCGGCCUAAGUUCCUUGGAACAGGUCAUCAUAGAGGGUGAGAAUCCCGUAUGUGGCUGCUUGUCUUCACCGUGUAAAGCCCCUUCGAUGAGUCGAGUUGUUUGGGAAUGCAGCUCUAAAUGGGAGGUAAAUUUCUUCUAAAGCUAAAUAUUGGCCAGAGACCGAUAGCGCACAAGUAGAGUGAUCGAAAGAUGAAAAGCACUUUGGAAAGAGAGUCAAAAAGCACGUGAAAUUGUUGAAAGGGAAGCGCUUGCAGCCAGACGUGCCCGCAGUUGCUCAUUCCUAGUUCACUAGGAUGCACUCUUCUGUGGGCAGGCCAGCAUCAGUUCAGGCGGCUGGAGAAAGACCUGUGUCAUGUAGCUGUCUUCGGGCAGUGUUAUAGGGCAGGUGGAAUGCAGCCAGCUUGAACUGAGGUCCGCGCAUCUGCUAGGAUGCUGGCGUAAUGGCUGUAAGCGGCCCGUCUUGAAACACGGACCAAGGAGUCUAACAUCUAUGCGAGUGUUUGGGUGUCAAGCCCGAGCGCGUAAUGAAAGUGAACGGAGGUGGGAACCCCUCGGGGUGCACCAUCGACCGAUCCUGAUGUCUUCGGAUGGAUUUGAGUAAGAGCAUAGCUGUUGGGACCCGAAAGAUGGUGAACUAUGCCUGAAUAGGGUGAAGCCAGAGGAAACUCUGGUGGAGGCUCGCAGCGGUUCUGACGUGCAAAUCGAUCGUC
rnacentral:rRNA from 1 species